AUCAGAUUGAUUGAAGAUCUGUUGAUUGAUUGAAGGUGAUUUCGAAGUUCAACCUUCUUCAGCUCCGUGAUUCAAUCUCAGAUUCAUUCGGCGAUUUCGAAGUUCUGUCUCGAUUUCAAAGCUCGGUGAUUCAACCUCAGAUUCGUCCGGCGAGGAGAGUGAGCACCAUCAUCUACUAAGGUGAGCACCAUCGCUUCAGAAAAUCUCAAGCUCUCUCUCUCUCUCUCAAGUUCUUCCUUCCCGUCGAUUCUUCUCCUAAGGUUUUCAGUCAAUGUUUUGAAGAAUUUUAAUCUCUGUUUUUUAUUGAUCAGUUUGGAUUGAUCAAUCAGUGUUUUACACAUCUCAUUUAUUUUUCCCCAGAUCACCAGAACUGAUUUUUCAACCAGUGUUCUUUAUUUUUCACUCUUUGUUUUUUUAUUACCCUGUUUUAAACCCUAAAUUAGCAUCAACAAUAUUAGCAUGUUUUUUUCCUAUGCUGAUCUGGUUUUUGGUCCCAAUUCUGAUGUAUGCACAUAUUAUAAUUUUCUUAAUGGCAUUGUUGUUAGGGUUGCAAGGUUUAAUGGCUCUAGCUGAUUUUUAGGAGUUAAGUUUGUGAAUCUUUUGUACUUAUUCCAGUUACAAGAUUAGGGGCUUUAAGCAGGAAAUAAGAGUGAAAGAUGCGACUGUAAACAGAACUUACUGUCUACAUACAAAUAAAUAUGGAAGUCAAUUGUUCCAAUGAGUAAUAGAUAAAAAGAUUAUGAAUAAUGAAUGAUAGAAUGCUGCCAAGCUUACAAAUUAAUAUAUUUACUGAUUCUCAUUACUAAAGAGGUAUUUCUCUUCAAGUAAGGCUUUCAAGCUGGUAUAAGCCCUUCCCGAAUAAGAGUUGUUCUUAUAGUACUUGACAUUAAUGACUCUCGAUCUCAAAAACUCUUUUUCACUAGACGCUGUCCUUUUCCAGAAAAAUGAAAAUGCUUUAACAGCAUCAAGGACUAAAGAGGAAUUCUGGAAUGAUAAAAGGAACAUCAUUCGUGUGAACUAGGUGAAUAUAAGCAAUUAAAGUCUUUAAACAGGAACAAUGUUGAAUACUUCACAUCAAAUGUAUAUAUACAGCAGUAGAAGAGUAUUCAUACAAUCAUAUUGAACAACCGCAAUGAUAAUAUUUUUCAGUCGCACUGAAGGCAACAGGGUAUCAUCUUAUGUCAACAAUAAUAGGUAUGCCUUCAUUGUGCCUCACCCUCAGGUAUUUGUUAUAGUUAUUUAACCGAUAAUGGUAUGCAUUCAUCUUAUAUAUUUAUAAUGCUGAAUGAUGGAUAGCCAAAUACCUUCUAUGGUGGUUCAAAUUCUGUACACAUUUAACGACAUCUAGUAUUUAAGAAAUUUUUGUUGCAUGUUCUUGUCCGUAACUUUGAUGAACUUGCACAACUAACUAGUUAUCUUGAUUAUUGUCCUCUCAUCCAUGGCUGUGGUGGUUGUUUUUGCUGAAGUUUAUCAUUGAUACUGUAUUCUUUGUUCAGUCUUGUACAGGGAAAACCUUUGUUCAGUUGUUUCGAGCAUGGAUGCUUUGCCAUUUUGCUUCAUUUGUUGUGAAUUGAGAUCUGUGUAUGCAGGUAGUGUUGAGUAUAAUACAUCAUUACUAUCGGUGGUAUCUCCUGUCUUUUUCUUAUUCACUCUCUAGUUGAAAUAACUUACAAAUCCUCAUGCUUUUUGUGAACCCAUUACAUAGGCAGCAGCAGGUAUUUUCAUUAUUUUUAUUAGUUAUUACUUUAAGUUGCGCAGAGCUACUAUACAACUUAAACCUCUUAUUGAAUGAUAGGUUGUUGAUUCACUUAGUAGUCUUCCCACUGUUCGGUCAAUGUUACAUCAACAACAAUCUCAUGCAUUUUCAUCCCAAGAUGUUCACCUUUCAAAGAAAGAGAAGAAGAAAAAGAACUAACAAGGAACUGAUAUGCUGGCUGUUUUGUUGGCUGUUCUGAUCUUGUGUUGCUUGCUUUGCUGUUGGUUCAGGGUAUGUAUGGAACAGAUUUGCUGGGGGUGUGUAUAGAACAGAUUUGCUGGUAUUUCCAAAUAUUUAAAGCUAAAUUAAGUAUUAGGUUAGGUCCACCUAUGUCUUAUUUGCUGGGGGUGUGUAAAUUACCAUAGUCCACAUGCUUAAAUGUUUUGUGUGUUUGCAGCUGCCAUCUGUGCUUCUGAGUUACAUUUUUAUGCUACUAUUGCUUCUGAGUUGUGAGCAAAUUAUCUUACAAAAGCUUUUGUAACACAAGUUGUAAUUUUUGGUUGAUUGCCUUACUGGAUGGAUGGUGUGUUGGUCUAGUUGAUAAGAACAAGGCUGUGUGACUUUUGGCUGGUGUUGAUUUUUGCUGCCACAGGACUGCUGGAAAAAAGUUGAUCUCUUUAAUUGCUCUCGCUUUAAACUUGGAUGAAGACUUCUUCGAGAAAGAUGGGGCUUUCAAUCCACCAAUGCCAUUUCUUCGUCUUCUACACUAUCCUGGUUGAAUCAAAAUUUGACUUUAUCUGCUUUGUCUGUUAAGUCUUUCUUUUCAUUAUCUGGGUUCAUACAUGGACAGAUUCAGGAAUCUGUAUGAUGUGUGGUUUAUGAAAGGAGCAUAGCAUUCUAUUUGUAUGUCUUACUGUCAUGAGUACAAUUACAACACUUUGGGAUGGCAGGAUGUUAUCCAGAAAAUUGAGGAUGCAUAUGAAAAUGUAAUUGGAAAUUAA